AUUCACGGAGAGUUUGAUCCUGGCUCAGGACGAACGCUGGCGGCGUGCUUAACACAUGCAAGUCGAACGAUGAACCGCUUUCGGGCGGGGAUUAGUGGCGAACGGGUGAGUAACACGUGGGCAAUCUGCCCUGCACUCUGGGACAAGCCCUGGAAACGGGGUCUAAUACCGGAUAUGACUGUCCAUCGCAUGGUGGAUGGUGUAAAGCUCCGGCGGUGCAGGAUGAGCCCGCGGCCUAUCAGCUUGUUGGUGAGGUAGUGGCUCACCAAGGCGACGACGGGUAGCCGGCCUGAGAGGGCGACCGGCCACGACUGGGACUGAGACACGGCCCAGACUCCGUACGGGAGCAGCAGUGGGAAUAGUUGCACAAUGGGCGAAAGCCUGAUGCAGCGACGCCGCGUGAGGG
rnacentral:rRNA from 1 species